rnacentral:lncRNA from 1 species
UCGUAUUGGAGUUGGUUAUUGCACUCCUGCGGGCCAAUCUCCCUUCGUCUUCUCUUUCUGAUCCACUUUAAGCCCAUAUUGGCCCAACUGCUCCAGCCUUUUAAUCGGCCGAUCUCUUCCAACUCUAUCCAUCAGAACACUGUAGCACCAAUCAGCCGAUCUCCAACUGUAGCACCAAUCGGCUGAUUCCCAAUAGUGACUUCUUCUCUUGCCGCAUCGGCCAAUCCUUUC